CGCUGGCUCCGCCCGCUGGAGGCCCCGCCCCGGCGCUGCCCGCGCGUGCGCAGAACCGUCGCGCUCCUUCUCCCGAGGGCGGCGUGCGAUUUGGGGGGAGAUCUGUGCGGGGCUGAAGCCGGGGCUUGGCUCCCGGGCCGGACUCGCCAGCCCUUGGGCUGGUCGAUGUCCACUUUUACCGACGGACUCCAUGCUUGGCCAAGGUCAUCUCACCUCGUCCUAGUGCCUCGUGAGGGUGCAGAAGAGGAAAGGUGAGGGGAAGGACCCAGCCGCUCCGGACGCCCGAUUUUCACUGGUCGCCUUUUGUUUCGUUCUGUUUUGUUUGCAUCGAGCGGAAGCCGAGCCCUGGGUGGGACGGAUUCACCGCCCGAAGUCGCUGUGUGGGUAUCAGAUCGGCGAGAGAGGGCGGGUCUCUGGAGCUCGGUCCGAGCUGGUGGAUGCGGACCGGAAAGCAGCGGCACUUUCCCAGCUCCCGGGCUGCGGGACCUGUGGCUGGCGUUGCAGACGGGGUCAGACUCGCGGAGAAAGAGCCUUCUCGAAUUCUUUCUUGGACCUCGGCUCCAGACCUCACCAACAUUCCCAAACAACAUCACGAAGAGGGGGAAAAGUGCAGUGAAGUCCAGACGGUGUCUCUGGGGGGAGAAGUACAGUUCGUAUGCACAGCCGAGGCUCAUCUCUCGUCUGCUUAAGUGCUCUUCGGAGGCCUCACUACCACCCAGUACUACCAUAUGUGAUACUGUCUAUUUCCUCCCUUCAGUUGAAUGUGAAUGUACCGAGAUCAGAUCUGUUUUGUCUGCUCCUGUCCCCAGCACCUGGAACAUGCCUGGUACGUAGUGUGCCUUCAAGAAGGAUGUGUGGCUUAGGCUUUGAAUGUGGGAAGCUACAAAGAGCAUCACCGUCCCCAAAUGAUGACGAGAACAGACGGGAUAAGCUGCAAAACCAAACAACCCAAAUAUCCUUCAAAUGGAUCAGCAAACAUGGUGAAUUCAAUACCCAGAGACCACCUACGACGACUGCUGCAUGAAACCACAUGGAUGAAUUUCAAAUUAAUUAUGUGACCCAAAAGAAGGGAAGACAAAGGCUGCAUACUGUAUGAUUCCAUUCACAGGACAUUCUGGAAAAGGCAAAACCAUAGAAACAUAGAACAGAUUAGCAGUUUCCCAGGGUCAGGGAUAUAAGGAAAGGUUGAAUUACGGAGAAGCCAGGACAUACUGGGGCAGCGAUGGAACGGUUCUAUUUCUUGAUUGUGGGGGUGGUUGCACGGCCACGUGUUUGUCAAAACUUGACUGUAGGGGCGCCUGGGUGGCUUAGUGGGUUGAGCCCUGCCUUCCGCUCAGGUCAUGAUCUCCGG